rnacentral:rRNA from 1 species
UGGGGAAUAUUGCACAAUGGGCGCAAGCCUGAUGCAGCAACGCCGCGUGAGUGAAGAAGUAUUUCGGUAUGUAAAGCUCUAUCAGCAGGGAAGAAAGGCCCGCAAGGGAGAUGACGGUACCUGACUAAGAAGCCCCGGCUAACUACGUGCCAGCAGCCGCGGUAAUACGUAGGGGGCAAGCGUUAUCCGGAUUUACUGGGUGUAAAGGGAGCGCAGACGGCAGUGCAAGUCUGAUGUGAAAGCCCGGGGCUCAACCCCGGAACUGCAUUGGAAACUGUACAGCUUGAGUGUCGGAGAGGUAAGCGGAAUUCCUAGUGUAGCGGUGAAAUGCGUAGAUAUUAGGAGGAACACCGGUGGCGAAGGCGGCUUACUGGACGAUUACUGACGUUGAGGCUCGAAAGCGUGGGGAGCAAACAG